rnacentral:misc_RNA from 1 species
UUUUCUUUUGCUUAGCUAGAUAAUAGCCUUACCUUGAAAAACCCAAAACCAUGAAGGUCAGAGUAGAGAGUACAAGUACGAUUAAGCCAAUUUAUGAAGGCAUUUUUCCUCCCCUAGCCUUACACUGUAUCCCUCUGAGUGUAUUUGAUAAGGUCACCUAUAACACCCACAUUGCAGUCAUUUAUGCGUAUCGUCCACCAAUGCCUACAAAUGCAGCCAUUGAGCUUGGCCUCCAGAAGGCCUUAUCAGAAUACAGGGAGUGGGCUGG